rnacentral:rRNA from 1 species
CCAGGUUGAUUCUGCCUGACGUAGACGCCAUUCCCUAAGAUUAACCCAUGCAUGUUAUUGAUUUUUGAAAAAUGGACUGCUCAGUAAUACUCACUUUAUUUUAUGUAUACUUAUUAUAACUACGUUAAAGUGUAGAUAAAAUGUAUACAGUAAGAGUGAGACCUAUCAGCUAGUUGUUAAGGUAAUGGCUUAACAAGGUAGUGACGGGUAACGGUAUUACUUUGUAAUAUUCCGGAGAAGGAGCCUGAGAGACGGCUACUAAGUCUAAGGAUUGCAGCAGGGGCGAAACUUGACCUAUGGAUUUUAUCUGAGGCAGUUAUGGGAAGUAAUAUUAUAUUGUUUCAUGUUUUAAAAGUAUAUGAGGUGAUUAAUUGGAGGGCAAAUCAAGUGCCAGCAGCCGCGGUAAUACUUGUUCCAAGAGUGUGUAUGAUGAUUGAUGCAGUUAAAAGUCCGUAGUUUAUUUUUAAGAAGCAAUAUGAGGUGUACUGUAUAGUUGGGAGAGAGAUGAAAUGUGACGACCCUGACUGGACGAACA